rnacentral:rRNA from 1 species
GAUGAACGCUGGCGGCGUGCCUAAUACAUGCAAGUCGAGCGAACAGAUGAGGAGCUUGCUCCUCUGACGUUAGCGGCGGACGGGUGAGUAACACGUGGAUAACCUACCUAUAAGACUGGGAUAACUUCGGGAAACCGGAGCUAAUACCGGAUAAUAUAUUGAACCGCAUGGUUCAAUAGUGAAAGACGGUUUUGCUGUCACUUAUAGAUGGAUCCGCGCCGCAUUAGCUAGUUGGUAAGGUAACGGCUUACCAAGGCGACGAUGCGUAGCCGACCUGAGAGAGGGAUCAGCCACACUGGAAGUGAGACACGGUCGAGACUCAUACGGGAGGGAGCAGUGGGGAAUAUUGGACAAUGGGCGAAAGCCUGAUACAGCUAUACAGCGUGGGUGAAGAAGGUCUUCGGGUUGUAAAGCCCUUUUGUUGGGAAAGAAAAGAAGCAGGGUAAUCACCCGAUGUUCUGACGGUACCCAAAGAAUAAGCACCGGCUAACUUCGUG